rnacentral:RNase_P_RNA from 1 species
GGAAAAAUUUUUUCAGAGGAAAGUCCGUGCAACAUAGAGCAUCAUACUGUCUAACGGACAGGCAGGAGUUUUUUGGCUCUUGACAGAAAGUACAACAGAAAAUAACCGCCUUGAUUUCAAGGUAAGGGUGAAAACGUGGGGUAAGAGCCUACGGCUAUUGUUAGUGAUAAUGAUAUGCGUGCAAACCUUAUGAGUUGAAAGUCCAAAUAUAUCGGCAUAUAGUGUCUGCUCGGUGCUGCCGAGGGGUAGGAUGAUAGAGCGAAGUCGCAAGGCUUGGCGUAGAUUAAUGACAGAUGAGAAACAGAACACGGCUUACAAA